rnacentral:rRNA from 1 species
UGGGGAAUUUUGGACAAUGGGCGCAAGCCUGAUCCAGCCAUGCCGCGUGAGUGAAGAAGGCCUUCGGGUUGUAAAGCUCUUUCGGCUGGGAAGAAAUCGCAUCUCCUAAUACGGGGUGUGGAUGACGGUACCAGCAUAAGAAGCACCGGCUAACUACGUGCCAGCAGCCGCGGUAAUACGUAGGGUGCGAGCGUUAAUCGGAAUUACUGGGCGUAAAGCGUGCGCAGGCGGUUUCGUAAGACAGAGGUGAAAUCCCCGGGCUCAACCUGGGAACUGCCUUUGUGACUGCGAGGCUAGAGUAUGGCAGAGGGGGGUGGAAUUCCACGUGUAGCAGUGAAAUGCGUAGAGAUGUGGAGGAACACCGAUGGCGAAGGCAGCCCCCUGGGCCAAUACUGACGCUCAUGCACGAAAGCGUGGGGAGCAAACAGG